rfam:Triticum aestivum genome assembly, contig: Triticum_aestivum_CS42_TGACv1_scaffold_577642_7BL
UUUAUAUUCCCUCCGUCCCAAAAUUCUUGUGUUAGAUUUUUUUAGAUACGGAUAUAGCUAAUAAUAAAACAUGACUUGAUACAUCCAUAUUUAGACAAAUCUAAGACAAGAAUUUUGGGACGCAGGGAGUAUAUA